GAUCAGCCACACUGGGACUGAGACACGGCCCAGACUCCUACGGGAGGCAGCAGUCGGGGAAUAUUGCACAAUGGGCGCAAGGCCUUGAUGCAGCCAUGCCGCGUGUGUGAAGAAGGCCUUCGGGUUGUAAAGCACUUUCAGUCAGGAGGAAAGCGUGGUAGGUUAAUACCCAUCAUGUGGUGACGUUACUGACAGAAGAAGCACCGGCUAACUCCGUGCCAGCAGCCGCGGUAA
rnacentral:rRNA from 1 species